rnacentral:rRNA from 1 species
GUACACGCUGUGACUAGCAUAUCAAUAAGCGGAGGAAAAGAAACUAACAAGGAUUCCCCUAGUAACGGCGAGUGAAGCGGGAAGAGCUCAAAUUUGAAAUCUUAAAGGGUUUCCCUUUACGAAUUGUAGUUUAAAGAAGUGUUUUCUGUUGAGGUUUUGGUAAAAGUUCUUUGGAAUAGGACAUCAUAGAGGGUGAGAAUCCCGUAUUUGACCUUUACUUUCAACUUUGUGAUACACUUUCAAAGAGUCGGAUUGUUUGGGAAUGCAGUCCAAAAUGGGUGGUAAAUUUCAUCUAAAGCUAAAUAUUGGCGAGAGACCGAUAGCGAACAAGUACCGUGAGGGAAAGAUGAAAAGAACUUUGAAAAGAGAGUUAAACAGUACGUGAGAUUGUCAAAAGGGAAGCGUUUGACACCAGUGUUGUUUUUCUGAAAAUCAAUUAAAGAACUGUUUAUGCUAAGUUGUUUAGACUUUAUCAGCUAACUGUUUAGUUUUGAGCUUUUCUUUAAUGCACUUUUCAGUUAACAAGUCAACAUCAAUUUCUUUUGCUGUAAAAAAGCUUGAGGAAGGUGGCUUGAGAUUCGUCUUAAGUGUUUAUAGCCUCUUGCCUAUGCAGUCGGAGAGAUUGAGGUCUGCAGCGUAGAUCCUUCGGGGCUAAAUGCAUUUGUGCUAAGUUAUAGCAUUUUAUAGACAACUUAUUGACUAUGAUUUGUCUUGUAGCUUAUUCGCUUAUGUUAUUUUACCUACGCUUAGGAUGUUGAAGAUGUAGCACAUCAU